GCCCAGCCGUAACACGGCAACACCAUUGCUCGCCAAACCAUUACGAGUGAAAACUUAAAACUUAAAGGACUUGACGGUACUUCACCCAACCUAGAGGAGCCUGUCUAAUAACCGAUAACCCACGAUUAACCCAACCACUUCUGGCCACACAGUCUAUAUACCGCCGUCGCCAGCUCACCUUGCAAGAGAAACAAAGUGAACCAAACAGUAAUACACUAACACGACAGGUCGAGGUGUAACUCAUGAAGUGGACCAAGAUGGGCUACAUUUUCUAACACAGACUAUACGAACAAAGACAUGAAACCAUCCUUUAAAGGCGGAUUUAGUAGUAAGAUAAGAACACAAUACUUAGCUGAACCCAAUGCAAUGAAGUGCGUACACACCGCCCGUCAUCCCUGUCAUCAACCAAAACAACCCAACAUAUACCAACCAACAAAAACACGAAACAGGGCAAGUCGUAACAUGGUAAGCGUACUGGAAAGUGCGCUUAGAAA
rnacentral:rRNA from 1 species